rnacentral:rRNA from 1 species
AGAGUUUGAUCCUGGCUCAGAUUGAACGCUGGCGGCAUGCUUUACACAUGCAAGUCGAACGGCAGCGCGGGGCAACCUGGCGGCGAGUGGCGAACGGGUGAGUAAUAUAUCGGAACGUACCCAGAAGUGGGGGAUAACGUAGCGAAAGUUACGCUAAUACCGCAUACGAUCUACGGAUGAAAGUGGGGGACCUUCGGGCCUCAUGCUUUUGGAGCGGCCGAUAUCUGAUUAGCUAGUUGGUGAGGUAAAGGCUCACCAAGGCGACGAUCAGUAGCUGGUCUGAGAGGACGACCAGCCACACUGGGACUGAGACACGGCCCAGACUCCUACGGGAGGCAGCAGUGGGGAAUUUUGGACAAUGGGGGCAACCCUGAUCCAGCAAUGCCGCGUGAGUGAAGAAGGCCUUCGGGUUGUAAAGCUCUUUUGUCAGGGAAGAAACGGUGAGGGCUAAUAUCCCUUGCUAAUGACGGUACCUGAAGAAUAAGCACCGGCUAACUACGUG